rnacentral:rRNA from 1 species
AUGGUAUAUCUGGCCCAUCCAUCUACAUGCCAUCUACUUUCUUUCUUCUCAAGCGGGAUUGGCUUCAACCUCCUGUUUGGGCCGCGGUGCCGCCAAAGGUAUGCUUCUCUUUAUCCCGAUUCUAAUUCUCUGCGUUCUCCAUCUACAUAUGCAUGUGAUUGCCUACUCUGUUUCUGCCCAAACAACAUAUAUGUACGUAUGUUGGUGGAAGUAGAGAUUAAGAGUGAGAUAAAGAAUGAGAGAGACAAAAUGCUAGGGAGAAAGAUAGCUAGACAACUGAUAAGUAUAUGUUCUCAACUGUAUAUUUUGGUUAUUAUUUACAAGCUGAACUUCCAUUAUUCCAACUGGGUGGCAUGUCACAUUUAUUGA